rnacentral:rRNA from 1 species
GACGAACGCUGGCGGCGUGCUCAACACAUGCAAGUCGAGCGGUAAGGCCCUUUCGGGGGUACACGAGCGGCGAACGGGUGAGUAACACGUGGGUGACCUGCCCUCAGCUCUGGGAUAAGCCUGGGAAACCGGGUCUAAUACCGGAUAUGACUCCAUGACGCAUGUUGUGGGGUGGAAAGCCUUGUGCGGCUGAGGAUGGGCCCGCGGCCUAUCAGCUUGUUGGUGGGGUGANGGCCUACCAAGGCGACGACGGGUAGCCGGCCUGAGAGGGCGACCGGCCACACUGGGACUGAGACACGGCCCAGACUCCUACGGGAGGCAGCAGUGGGGAAUCUUGCGCAAUGGGCGAAAGCCUGACGCAGCGACGCCGCGUGAGGGAUGACGGCCU